rnacentral:rRNA from 1 species
GAUGAACGCUGGCGGCGUGCCUAAUACAUGCAAGUCGAGCGAACAGACGAGGAGCUUUCUCUUCUGCCGUUAGCGGCGGACGGGUGAGUAACACGUGCAUAACCAACCUCUUUGACGGGGAGAACAUCGUGAAAACGCUGCUAAUACUGGCGAAUAUAAUGAACCGCAUGGAUCAAAAGUGAAUGACGGCUUUCCCGUCACUUAUAGCCGGUGCCGCGCCGCAUUAGCUAGUUGGUAAGGUAACGGCUUACCAAGGCAACGAUGCGUAGCCGACCUGAGAGGGUGAUCGGCCACACUGGAACUGAGACACGGUCCAGACUCCUACGGGAGGCAGCAGUAGGGAAUCUUGCGCAAUGGGCGAAAGCUUGACGGAGCAACGCCGCGUGAGUGAUGAAGGUCUUCGGGUCGUAAAACUCUGUUAUUAGGGAAGAACAAAUGUGUAAGUAACUAUGCACGUCUUGACGGUACCUAAUCAGAAAGCAACGGCUAACUACGUG